UACGGAGGGUGCAAGCGUUAUCCGGAUUCACUGGGUUUAAAGGGUGCGUAGGAGGGCAGGUAAGUCAGUGGUGAAAUCCUGGGGCUCAACCCCAGAACUGCCGUUGAUACUAUCUGUCUUGAAUAUGGUGGAGGUGAGCGGAAUAUGUCAUGUAGCGGUGAAAUGCUUAGAUAUGACAUAGAACACCAAUUGCGAAGGCAGCUCGCUACACCUAUAUUGACUCUGAGGCACGAAAGCGUGGGGAUCAAACAGG
rnacentral:rRNA from 1 species